ensembl:lncRNA
GUCAUGUCAGACGAAGAAGAAGUGUAUCCUUCAAGGAUUGUACUUUUGGAUCCAGCUGCCUCCACCCUAAUGCCCAAGGUUGACCACGUUUCAUCCGACAUUCCACCAGAGCAGCACGUUACUGACAAUGUGAUCCCUCUUAGCAGAGUGGUUGUUCCCGGAGCAGUUUCAGAUGAAAUUGAGGUGGAAAUUCCCAUAGAAGCAGGGGAGGAGUCCCCAGCCACAAGCUCACCUCAGGUCAGCUUUCUUGACCGUGAAGAACCAGGAAGAACUGGAGGUGAUGAAAGUGAAUCUUCUGGGAAGGAUAGUGAGAUUUCAGUGCCCCUCAUUUCACCUGUUGGGGAAUCUCAGCUGCUUGACAUUGAAGGUACACAAGAUGUUCCUGAAACUGAUGACAUAGCUAAUUUAACCCACAUAAAAGAGCCAUCAGAGGGGUUAGAUGAGGCCGUCAGAUGUUCAAACAGGCAGCGAAGUCGACCAAAGAGACUCCAUUAUGCUGAACUUGGAAACCCUUUAAUAGAGGUGGUUCAGUCACUUUUUCAUGGUCUGGGUGCUGCUAUAAUAAGGUCAAUGGAUGCUGCAGAACCGUUGUGGUACAAUCAAACCACCAUCCCUCCUGUCGAUCCAGUAACAACACAGCCGCAGAGAAGGUGCACGGGGACGUGCCACCCUUCAGUGGGGGAGGGUGUAACCCUGGAGAGUUACUAAGGGGUUUUAGUGUGUUAUGAGUGAUGUUAGUAUUUUGAGUUCACUGUUAAGUUUUAUUAAGUUAAAUUAUUUUGUUGAGAAUUAAUAAAAUAGAAGAUGUCUAUAAUGUCCUGAUGGUCCUUGAAGUAUACAGGGGGAAGUACCGCCUCCUGCCGUUCACUGCGUAGCAGUUAGGGAUAUCAGGAGAGAGGGAGAGGAAGAAAAGUCCGUUUUUUCCAAGUGAAAAGCGUGGUUGUUUUUAUUCAGUCGGAUUGUACGGUGGAAAUAAACUAUCUGGAAAUUGUUGUUAACCAGAAAGGAGUUUGUUACUGCUCGGAUUCUUCUGGUUGUGCUACAACGCUUCACCAUCGCCAUUUUGAAGCUCCAGGAGAGUCCAUUUUAUUGGUUACUUUGGUCAGGUUUUUUACUUGGGAGUAUAGUUCAGUGAUGAUCCAGUCCAAAGAUGGC